rnacentral:piRNA from 1 species
AUCUGGGUUGAUGGUACUGGAGA